UACCAUAUAUAUUUGAGAAAUGAUAAGGGAACUAUAAUCCUCUCCAAAACCCCCGUAAUACCUCUUGCCUUUUCCUGAAAAGCACAAAAACUGCCUAGAAUCUUGGGACAGGAUAAGCCACCAAAAAUCUUGUGCCAAGGUUGCCCCUCAUUCUCAGUUUACUAUUUCACCACUUUCUUGGACAUGUUGCUCUCCAAAGAAGUCCCCUCAAGGGCAAGACCUUGGUUACCUGCAGCCCUAGCUGGAGAGAGCCAGGAACCAGCAUGAAACCAGAAAGAAGAAGACAGCUUAGACUCUACUUGCCUUUAAGCCUUGAAAGUCAGGCUUCCAUAGAUAGAGCAUUAAGCCAGAAUCCCCACCUUUAGACUACCCCCUGAUGAUGCUUAAAGUUCAUUUGUGAAAUAGGGAUAGCCCUUAAAACAGAUUCACGGUCCCCUUUACCAAUCUAGUGUAGCCUAUGGGGAUUCCUUCUCAGAAGAGUUACCUAUAUUCAUAAAGAAAAAGCUAUAGUUAGGUCCAGUGAAAAUAAAUGUAACUUUUUUCUUUAUCAAAAUUCAUGACCCCCCCCCCCCAUAUGUAACCAUAUCUAUCCAACCCAGAUUAAGGAUCCCUGCCUUAACAUUGGAACACUAAUGCAUUGUUGGUGGAGUUGGGAACUAAUCCAAACGUUUUGGAGAGCCAUUUGGAGCUAUGACCAAAGGACUAUAAAAAGAGUAAUACCUCCACUCUACUAGGUCUGUACCACAAAAACUUCAUUUAAAAAAAAAAAAAGGAAAAGGAAAAAGACCCUUAUAUACAAAAAUUUUUAUAGAACUCUUUAUUGUGACAGAGAACUGGAAAUUGGGGAAUGACUAAGUAAGUUAUGGUAUAUGAAUGUAAUGGAAUAUUAUUGUUCUAUAAGAAAUGAUGAGCAGGUUGAUUUCGGAAAAGCCUGGAAUGACUUACAUGAUCUGAUCCUGAGUGAGCAAGAUUAUGUGAUGACCAACUAUGAUAGAUUUUGCUCUUCUCAGAUACAAUUUCUAAGGGACUUAUGAUGGAAAAGACUAUCCACAUUCAAAGAACUGAUAGAGUCUGAAGGCAGAUUGAAGCAUACUCUUUUCUCCUUUGUCUUUUUUAAUGUUAUUUUUCCUUGUUUUUUUUCCCCUUUUGUUCUGAUUCUUCUUUCACAAGAUGACUAGUACAGAAAUGUUUAUUAAUAAGUUUGUACAUAUAUAACCUAUAUCAGAUUUCCUUGUCUUGGCGGAGGGGGAAGAGAAGGAAGUUAAGAAAAAGCAAACUCUUAUAAUAGUUACUACACAUAUAUAACCCAUAUUAGAUUGCUUACUAUCUUGGGAAGGAAGAAAUUAAAUUAAAAUCUUAUAAAAGGAAAUGUCAAAAACGAAUAAAAUUUUAAAAAGAAUCCCUGCCUUUAAAAAGUAAAGACUUGAAGAAGUUAAGGGCUCAAAUUUGGAACUAUGCUCAAAAAGUUAUCAAGCUGUGCAUACCCUUUGAUCCAGCAGUGUUUCUACUGGGCUUAUACCCCAAAGAGAUACUAAAGAAAGGAAAGGGACCUGUAUGUGCCAAAAUGUUUGUGGCAGCCCUGUUUGUAGUGGCUAGAAGCUGGAAAAUGAAAGGAUGUCCAUCAAUUGGAGAAUGGCUGAGUAAAUUGUGGUAUAUGAAUGUUAUGGAAUAUUAUUGUUCUGUAAGGAAUGACCUUACAGAUAAAUACAGAGAGGACUGGCGAGACUUACAUGAACUGAUGCUGAGUGAAAUGAGCAGAACCAGGAGAUCACUAUAUACCUCAACAACGAUACUGUUUGAGGAUGUAUUCUGAUGGAAGUGGACCUCUUUGAUAAAGAGAGCCUUAAUUGAUCAAAGAUGGACAGAAGCAGCUACACCCAGAGAAAGAACACUGGAAAUGAAUAUAAACUGCUCGCAUUUUUGUUUUUCCUCCCGGGUUAUUUAUACCUUCUGAAUUCAAUUCUCCCUGUGCAACAAGAAAACUGUUUGGUUCUGCACACAUAUAUUGUAUCUAGGAUAUACUGCAACCCAUUCAACAUGUAAAGGAUUCUUGCCAUCUGGGGGGAAGGGGUGGAGGGAGGGAGGGGAAAAAUCGGAACAGAAAUGAAUGCAAGGGAUUAAUGCUGUAAAAAAUUACCCUGGCAUGCGUUCUAUCAAUAAAAAAAUUAUUAAAAAAAAAAAAAAAAAAGAAGUUAAGGGCUCAGAAAAUAUUUUCUCACAAAGGCACCUGUUACUGAAUAUGAUUGAUCUGGGAGGAGUUAGAGCCCGUGUUUGGAGACAUAUGCGAUGGUACUUAGCUCUGUCAUUCUUGUAGCCUUGCUAGUACUCUUGAGUACAGGUUGGGGGCAGGGUAGAAUUAUGAAAACCUAUAACCACUUCCUUCUUCCUUGUGUAGCUCCAAAUUAUCUAUUUCCCCAAAUAUCUCCCCAUUUUCAGCCUUCCAUCCUGAGAAAAUUUUAAAGUACAAUUGUCCCGUUUCCUAGCCAAGGCCCUAGAGUAGUUAUGGCCAGAAGUUUUAAUUACAGCACCCGCUUCCUUCCCAAGUCAAGCCCCUUCCCCAAGUUUAUUAUUAACAGCCUCUGCUUAAGCCUUAAGAUAUACACUGCUUAUAUCAGACAACAGAGAAGGAUAAGGAGAAUAGAGAUGGACUCCUAAUCUGUCUUUAUUUGGGAUCAGAAGAAACUAGAUGCUAAACUGAGACAGAACAAUUUAUGAACCCCUAGUCAGAGAACCUUUGUUCUGUUCCUCCACAUCCCUCCCUUUAUUUACAAAUGGAGGAACUGAUUCCUAGACAAAGGAAGUGACUCAACAAAAAUAUAUAGAUUUUGGAGCCAGAAUUAUCAGAGCCACGUUAUCACCAGGCUCUUUCCCAAGCAAUGGAGACCCUCUUUCUUACUGUUUCCAACAAGCCACAGGGACACACUUCAGGAAUUUGAACUUGUUUUGGCUAUAACCUACUCAACCUGACCCCUAGGAGGGCUGGCCAGAACUCAAAGCAAAGCUGAAUUUCAGAAACAGGGAAAAGCUCUCAGGCCUUAUCACCCAACUCAGCUCCAGGGUCUCCCUCACAAAUCAAGCAAAUCAGCCCAUAGGGGAGGCUGUGCAAGGAAACCUCAAAGAGGGGAACCAGAGUCCUCUCACUGGAAGAAUGUGGUCCAACCUGUCUGAGCAAACACAGGACCAGGGAGGGGCAGUAGGGGGUAUUGGGAGGGCGUCAGCACAGUGAGACUAAAACACUAAGACAAGUCCUCCCCAGUCAACACUGAUUAACUUGAGAUGAAAAGUUAGCUCCACUCCAUCCUCCCUUUCCUCUGAGUUUGGGCUGAGUUUAUACAAGGUAAAAAGUCCAAGGUGUCCCCAUGUUAAGACUAAGGUAGCUCCUACCUAUUUCUCUGCCCCACCCCAGAGUUCCUAGGAGGAAGGCCUCAAGAGGAAGGGGUGCUGUGACAGGUAGCAGAAAUUUAAACUCUACACGCCCAGGCAUACCAGGAAGUGUGCUAUUUAAAGGAGACAGCUCUGAGUCUUUUGUUUACCAGGUGUACCGGCAGAUUUCCCCUUCCCCCUUCAGCAUUCACAUAAAGCAUCCUCCACGGCCUCAAGAAUCACCAUCCUUUCCUCUCCUUCUCCUGGGGUUCCCCAUCAAGGGCUUCCUAUUAGCCCAAAGGUUGCAGCCCCGGAAGUGUAUGUGGUUCAAGGGCAGUCACGGAAUCCCAGGCUGUACCUGGCUCUCAUCUACCUCCUUCCAGGAGUUAGGAAACCUAGAAACAGCCUGUCAGCUCAGUCCCAGGCGCCCCUGCUUCAGGCUCUACUUCUAUGGUCCAUGAAUAUUUUAGAAGCCUCUUCAGUUCUCUUUCCAGCUGAGGGUGGAGGGCCAGGGCCCAAGAACAGUUGGCUGAGGGCCAGUGGAGUACUUUUCAUCCACCCUUAGUGGCCUGUCACUUAUGACCCUGUCCCUGACCCCUGCCAGAGCAAAUCAGAGGCAGAGGAUCCAGGCUGUUUCAGAGUCGCUGAAGAAGCCUCUCUGCUCACCCACUGCAUCCCUCCUCAGACCCACAGUCCCUUGGUCUUCUAGGAGAUCUAGCUCAGUAUUUCAGAACAAGCCUCUACUCAGACAUGGGCUGACCAGGCCAAGGAGCUUGUCAGACUUCAGUUUCCUGGCCCACAAAGGGAGCUUUCUUCGCUGUUACCAGGGCAGGUUUCCGAUCCCAGCAGCCAUGGUCCCAGUGUAUGCUGAGGUUCCAGGCAGAGUCAGGGAGCCCAGCUCCAACCAGGGUCAUAGGAGUGGAGGAGGGGCUGAGGCAAGGCCUAGCAACUGAGAACCCCCAGAAAUCCCAGUUCCAACCCCUGCCCUCAGAAGCUUCUUUUCACCUUGAGGCCACAUCUUAAAACCAACCCCCUUUCCUGUCUGAUUCACAGAAAGACUAGAGGUACCCUAGACUGAGGGGCUCCUUUCUAAGCGGUAGGAAGGAACUCACUACCUCCUCCUUUUAUCCUUGACUCGUUUGGCUUGCAAAAGAUGAAGGAAAAGGACUGAAUCCUAGAUAAAACCCUACUGCACUCAGAUGGCUAUUAUAUUGAUUCUUCCUUCCCCAUGGAAGGAGUUCCAAGAACCUGCCCCAGGGGAACUCUGACAUCUUAAGGCAGAAGUGAGGUAGAGGGGGUAGGAAGUCUUUUUAAUCUCUAAGUGGCUUUUUAUAAGUCUAAAAAAUCUUAUCUGUAAAAAGGGGAGACAGCUAUUAAGAUACUAAAGACUUCUGGAUCAUGCAGAUCUUUCUCCAACUACUUCUUGGUCUCAUUCUGUCUUCUCAUUUCUUGUUGCCCUUUCAAUGUUGUCUAUCACCCAGGGCUCCAUCCUUGGGCUCUUUGGUCUAUUAAAAAAGUCUGGAGGGGAGGAGGGGAGAAGGGAAAAGAUUCUAAAUCUUGAAUCACACUUCUGAUAUUUGAAUUCUACUCGUGUAGUUUCAGGCAAAUCACUGGACCUUUCUGGCAAUCAAAUUUCUCAUCUUUAAAGAGACUGAGGCUGCAUGUAUCCAUUGUCCUUCCCAAAUCUAAACCUAAUUUCAUAGAAUAUAUAUAAUUUUUUUUCCUCUGUAAAAAUCUAAGGUCCUUUACUGUUCUACUCUAAUCCCAGGAUAGGUCCAUGAGAAUGAGCACUUCUAUUCCCCUCCCCCACUCCUCCUAGUGUCCCUAUUCAAGUCCCCAGAGUCCUGAACCCUUUCUCUUAGUUUAAGUCUCUGCUAGACCUAAUAUCAAGCCUGAUGGUCAGUUUCAUACGGCCUUGUAACCAAGGGAACCAUUAGAUUUGAACUCAAACUCUGACAGUUACUAGUUGCCUAACCUUAAACCUCUAUUUGCCUCAGUCUCCUCAACUUUAAAGGGUUAUGAAGACCAAAUGACCAAAUGAGAUAUUUGUUUAAAAAAAAAAAAAAGCAAGUUCUAGAUAAAUGCUUAGUCCCUUCCCCAUCUGUACCACAGCACAAAUCCUCUACUGUCCCAGCCGAGUUACAGCCUAAGACUGUGGGGUUCAUAACAUUUAGUCUGGCCUGAUGCCCAGGGCUGAAUCUCCCCCCUUCUGAGGCAAGUAAGCAAACUUUGUUCCAAACAUCCUUUGGAGCUGAGAAAAGUUUGUUCUUUAUUUUAUCUCUCCCACACACAUACCUCAGCAGGUAAGUUAUUAACUGAUCAGUUCCUGCUCUGGGAAAGUCCAGUCACUCAGAGCCAGGGCUCCCUCCUGGAAACCUGGAACCUGCUUCAGAAAACCCAAUGGCCAAGCAGCUUCCCCAGGGAAGGCCCCACCUUCCCAGCAGGCCUGUGGUAACCAUGGAGAUUAUACAGCUGGCCAGUAGACUGGGGGAAGCCGAGCCAGGCAAGGCCAGAACUCGGAGGCGCCAACGUUCUGAGGAGAGGGAAAUGACCUAGCACCAGGGUCUGGGCCCUCACCGGGGAGGGAAAUCCAAGCCCAGCCCUAGCCCAGAGGGCCUUGGCUCAGGAAGGGCGAUUCCAGAGAGAGGGAAAGCCUGGCCGGGACCUUCAGUAGGUCUGUGGGUCCCAACGCAGCUGGUUCUAAUGCCCAGGCUUGGAUAAGACACCUCAGGAGAUGGGCCAAUGAGAACAGUGAGAAGUACAUCGCAAGCCCUGGCCUGGGCUGCGGCUAAGGGAAGGUUCAAAGGGAGAAGGGAAUCCUGGUCUCUAGUGGGAGGCUUCACAGAAGGGAGAAGAAAAGUCUACAGGACGGAGUCUCCUUCAUAAUCCAAACCACGAAGUGCAGCAGUGGAUACAGUGCUUAACCUGGACUAAAGAAAAUCUGAGCUCCAGUCCAGCUUCAAACUUCUUUACUAAUUGUGUGACCCUAUGCAGAUCACUUAAUCUCUGUCUUGCCUCAGUUUCGCCUUACUUAAAAUAAAGAAUAAUAAAAGCA